rnacentral:lncRNA from 1 species
CUUUUUCCUAACAUCCUUUGGCUGGAGUCAGAAGAAGACCUAUCAGCAAUCCGUGUCUAUAGCUCCGAAGAAGACUGCUUCUUCCCCAUCAUCAAGAGUGAUUGAAGAGUUUCUGAAAGAGCCCUGGGCACAAAGAAGGUUGGCAAUUCAUGCCACAUCUAGCGCUGUGCCAGCAUCCUCACAGAACUGAAUCUUCAAUUCUUCGAGAUUCUUCUUUGUGAACUCAUGACCCAAACAAAAUAAUAAGCAGCAGGGAUAAGAAUGCUCAUGUCUGCUGAAGAUUUUUCUCAGCACACCUUCUCAACACAUUAGCCAGGUGUACUGGAGGAGAGGGGAAAUGUCUCCCUACGAGGUCAGGCUUUUGCUUCCAACACUCCAC